rnacentral:rRNA from 1 species
GAUGAACGCUAGCGGCAGGCUUAACACAUGCAAGUCGAGGGGCAGCAGGACGAUAGCUUGCUAUUGUCGCUGGCGACCGGCGCACGGGUGAGUAACGCGUAUCCAACCUUCCCCUUAGUAGAGGAUAGCCCGGCGAAAGUCGGAUUAAUGCCCUAUGGGGUCCUUUGCAGACAUCUAACGAGGACUAAAGGUUUACCGGCCAUGGAUGGGGAUGCGUCCGAUUAGGUAGUUGGCGGGGUAACGGCCCACCAAGCCCUCGAUCGGUAGGGGUUCUGAGAGGAAGGUCCCCCACAUUGGAACUGAGACACGGUCCAAACUCC